GACGGAGGAUGCAAGCGUUAUCCGGAAUGAUUGGGCGUAAAGCGUCCGCAGGUGGCAGUUCAAGUCUGCUGUCAAAGACCGAGGCUUAACUUCGGAAAGGCAGUGGAAACUGAACAGCUAGAGUAUGGUAGGGGCAGAGGGAAUUCCUGGUGUAGCGGUGAAAUGCGUAGAGAUCAGGAAGAACAUCGGUGGCGAAGGCGCUCUGCUGGACCAUAACUGACACUCAGGGGCGAAAGCUAGGGGAGCGAAUGGG
rnacentral:rRNA from 1 species